CUCACAUGUGGUGGUGGGGCUCAGGCGGCUUUUGGCAGAAAGAUUUAUCCUAACAAGUUUUAGCUAGCUAGGAAGAUCUAGCAGUCCAGCUUCCUGCUUGUGAAUUCUGGCUUCCACACUUCCUAAAGUCUGUUUGGCACAUUCAUCUUUUUGCAACCCCCGGAGAUUAACCAAGACCACUUCCAUGACCCUGGAUGUGCAGAUAUACAUCGAAGUAUAUGCAAUACCUUACAGCACUACUGAAGAUAGUCGAUAUGGAAUGAAGCUUCCAAGUUCACAGUAUGUGGAAGUGGCUUCCAAAUGCAAAUUCUUGGCCUUCAGGACAGACCCAUUGAAUCAGCUCCAUAAAAUGAGCCCACCAAACAAUAUUCUAAUGACUCCUCUAAUUUUAGUGAACAAUAUUUCAGUGUCGGUGCAAAAAAACAAAAACAAACAAAC
rnacentral:lncRNA from 1 species